rnacentral:rRNA from 1 species
UUAAGCGACUAAGCGUACACGGUGGAUGCCCUGGCAGUCAGAGGCGAUGAAGGACGUGCUAAUCUGCGAAAAGCGCCGGCGAGGUGAUAUGAACCUUUGACCCGGCGAUGUCCGAAUGGGGAAACCCAGUGCAAUUCGUUGCACUAUCGUUAACUGAAUACAUAGGUUAACGAGGCGAACCGGGGGAACUGAAACAUCUAAGUACCCCGAGGAAAAGAAAUCAACCGAGAUUCCCCCAGUAGCGGCGAGCGAACGGGGAGCAGCCCAGAGUCUGAAUCAGCUUGUGUGUUAGUGGAAGCGUCUGGAAAGUCGCACGGUACAGGGUGACAGUCCCGUACACGAAAGCACACAGGUUGUGAACUCGAAGAGUAGGGCGGGACACGUGGUAUCCUGUCUGAAUAUGGGGGGACCAUCCUCCAAGGCUAAAUACUCCUGACUGACCGAUAGUGAACCAGUACCGUGAGGGAAAGGCGAAAAGAACCCCGGCGAGGGGAGUGAAAAAGAACCUGAAACCGUGUACGUACAAGCAGUGGGAGCACCUUCGUGGUGUGACUGCGUACCUUUUGUAUAAUGGGUCAGCGACUUAUAUUCUGUAGCAAGGUUAACCGUAUAGGGGAGCCGAAGGGAAACCGAGUCUUAACUGGGCGUUAAGUUGCAGGGUAUAGACCCGAAACCCGGUGAUCUAGCCAUGGGCAGGUUGAAGGUUGGGUAACACUAACUGGAGGACCGAACCGACUAAUGUUGAAAAAUUAGCGGAUGACUUGUGGCUGGGGGUGAAAGGCCAAUCAAACCGGGAGAUAGCUGGUUCUCCCCGAAAGCUAUUUAGGUAGCGCCUCGUGAACUCAUCUUCGGGGGUAGAGCACUGUUUCGGCUAGGGGGCCAUCCCGGCUUACCAACCCGAUGCAAACUACGAAUACCGAAGAAUGUUAUCACGGGAGACACACGGCGGGUGCUAACGUCCGUCGUGAAGAGGGAAACAACCCAGACCGCCAGCUAAGGUCCCAAAGUCAUGGUUAAGUGGGAAACGAUGUGGGAAGGCACAGACAGCCAGGAUGUUGGCUUAGAAGCAGCCAUCAUUUAAAGAAAGCGUAAUAGCUCACUGGUCGAGUCGGCCUGCGCGGAAGAUGUAACGGGGCUAAACCAUGCACCGAAGCUGCGGCAGCGACGCUUAUGCGUUGUUGGGUAGGGGAGCGUUCUGUAAGCCGUUGAAGGUGUGCUGUGAGGCAUGCUGGAGGUAUCAGAAGUGCGAAUGCUGACAUAAGUAACGAUAAAGCGGGUGAAAAGCCCGCUCGCCGGAAGACCAAGGGUUCCUGUCCAACGUUAAUCGGGGCAGGGUGAGUCGACCCCUAAGGCGAGGCCGAAAGGCGUAGUCGAUGGGAAACAGGUUAAUAUUCCUGUACUUGGUGUUACUGCGAAGGGGGGACGGAGAAGGCUAUGUUAGCCGGGCGACGGUUGUCCCGGUUUAAGCAUGUAGGCGGAGGUUCCAGGUAAAUCCGGUACCUUUUAACGCUGAGGUGUGAUGACGAGGCACUACGGUGCUGAAGUAACAAAUGCCCUGCUUCCAGGAAAAGCCUCUAAGCAUCAGGUAACAUCAAAUCGUACCCCAAACCGACACAGGUGGUCAGGUAGAGAAUACCAAGGCGCUUGAGAGAACUCGGGUGAAGGAACUAGGCAAAAUGGUGCCGUAACUUCGGGAGAAGGCACGCUGAUAUGUAGGUGAAGCCCCUGCGGGUGGAGCUGAAAUCAGUCGAAGAUACCAGCUGGCUGCAACUGUUUAUUAAAAACACAGCACUGUGCAAACACGAAAGUGGACGUAUACGGUGUGACGCCUGCCCGGUGCCGGAAGGUUAAUUGAUGGGGUUAGCGGCAACGCGAAGCUCUUGAUCGAAGCCCCGGUAAACGGCGGCCGUAACUAUAACGGUCCUAAGGUAGCGAAAUUCCUUGUCGGGUAAGUUCCGACCUGCACGAAUGGCGUAAUGAUGGCCAGGCUGUCUCCACCCGAGACUCAGUGAAAUUGAACUCGCUGUGAAGAUGCAGUGUACCCGCGGCAAGACGGAAAGACCCCGUGAACCUUUACUAUAGCUUGACACUGAACACUGGUCCUUGAUGUGUAGGAUAGGUGGGAGGCUUUGAAGCGUGGACGCCAGUCUGCGUGGAGCCAACCUUGAAAUACCACCCUUUAAUGGCUGGUGUUCUAACGUAGACCCGUGAUCCGGGUUGCGGACAGUGUCUGGUGGGUAGUUUGACUGGGGCGGUCUCCUCCCAAAGAGUAACGGAGGAGCACGAAGGUUAGCUAAUCCUGGUCGGACAUCAGGAGGUUAGUGCAAUGGCAUAAGCUAGCUUGACUGCGAGAGUGACGGCUCGAGCAGGUGCGAAAGCAGGUCAUAGUGAUCCGGUGGUUCUGAAUGGAAGGGCCAUCGCUCAACGGAUAAAAGGUACUCCGGGGAUAACAGGCUGAUACCGCCCAAGAGUUCAUAUCGACGGCGGUGUUUGGCACCUCGAUGUCGGCUCAUCACAUCCUGGGGCUGAAGUAGGUCCCAAGGGUAUGGCUGUUCGCCAUUUAAAGUGGUACGCGAGCUGGGUUUAGAACGUCGUGAGACAGUUCGGUCCCUAUCUGCCGUGGGCGCUGGAGAAUUGAGGGGGGCUGCUCCUAGUACGAGAGGACCGGAGUGGACGCAUCACUGGUGUUCGGGUUGUCAUGCCAAUGGCACUGCCCGGUAGCUAAAUGCGGAAAAGAUAAGUGCUGAAAGCAUCUAAGCACGAAACUUGCCCCGAGAUGAGUUCUCCCUGACCCUUUAAGGGUCCUGAAGGAACGUUGAAGACUACGACGUUGAUAGGUCGGGUGUGUAAGCGCAGCGAUGCGUUGAGCUAACCGAUACUAAUGAACCGUGAGGCUUAACCUU